CGAGAGCCCAGCCAAGCUGCAGCGACUAGGGGCUGGAAGUGCUUAUGGUGUCUCGGCAAAGUGCUUAUAGUACUCAGUGAUAACUAGGAAGCCAUUCAGGGUACCAGGCAUUCUGCCACUGAUGCCAAGGGGAGCUGUGAUAACCGUGCACCCUGCUGUGAUAACCCUUCACCCUGCUGUAUGAUAACCCCGCACCCUGCUGUAUGAUAACCCCGCACCCUGCUGUGAUAACCCCGCUUCUCGUAUCGCUGCAGCUAAAUAACCUACAUUGCGCUGUAUCACGGUAACUUCCCAGCUUCUCGUUUCACGGCAGCUAAAUAACCCGCAUUUCUCUGUAUCCCGGUAACUUCCCAGCUUCUCGCAUCACUCUUUAUCCCGGUAACUUCCCAGCUUCUCGUAUUGUGGCAGCUAAAUAAUCUGCAUCGCUUUGUAUCCCGGUAAAUUCCCAACUUCUGGUAUUCUGUUAGCUAAAUAUCCUGCAUCGCGCUGUAUCAUGGUAACUACCCAGCUUCUCGUAUCGCGGCAGAUAAAUAACCUGCAUCGAUCUGUAUCACGGUAAUUUCCCAGCCUCUCGUAUUGCGUCAGCUAAAUAACUUGCAUCGCUCUGUAUCCCGGUAACUUCUCAGCUUCUCGUAUCGUGGCAGCGAAAUAACCUGCAUCGCACUGUAUCACGGUAACUUUGCAGCUUCUCAUAUUCUGGCAGCUAAAUAAACUGCAUCGUGCUGUAUCCCAGUAACUGGCUUUUCGUAUUGUGGCAGCUAAAUAAUCUGCAUCGCUUUGUAUCCCGGUAACUUCCCAGCUUCUUGUAUUCUGGUAGCUAAAUAUCCUGCAUCGCGCUGUAUCAUGGUAACUACCCAGCUUCUCAUAUCACGCCAGCUAAACAGCCCGCAUUGCUCUGUAUCCCGGUAACUUCCCAGCUUCUCGUAUCACGGCAGCUAAAUAACCUGCAUCACUCUGUAUCACGGUAACUUCCCUGCCUCUCGUAUCAUGCCAGCUAAAUAACUUGCAUCGCUCUGUAUCCCGGUAACUUCUCAGCUUCUCGUAUCGCUGCAGCUAAAUAACCUGCAUUGCGCUGUAUCACGGUAACUUCCCAGCUUCUCGUAUCACGGCAGCUAAAUAACCCGCAUUUCUCUGUAUCCCAGUAACUUCCCAGCUUCUCGUAUCACGGCAGCUAAAUAACCUGCAUCACUCUGUAUCACGGUAACUUCCCUGCCUCUCGUAUCACGCCAGCUAAAUAACUUGCAUCGCUCUGUAUCCCGGUAACUUCUCAGCUUCUCGUAUCGCUGCAGCUAAAUAACCUGCAUUGCGCUGUAUCACGGUAACUUCCCAGCUUCUCGUAUCACGGCAGCUAAAUAACCCGAAUUGCUCUGUAUCCCGGUAACUUUCCAGCUUCUCGUAUCACGGCAGCUAAAUAACCUGCAUCACUCUGUAUCACGGUAACUUCCCUGCCUCUCGUAUCACGCCAGCUAAAUAACUUGCAUCGCUCUGUAUCCCGGUAACUUCUCAGCUUCUCGUAUCGCUGCAGCUAAAUAACCUGCAUUGCGCUGUAUCACGGUAACUUCCCAGCUUCUCGUAUUCUGGCAGCUAAAUAUCCUGCAUCGCGCUGUAUCAUGGUAACUACCCAGCUUCUCAUAUCACGCCAGCUAAAUAACCCGCAUUGCUCUGUAUCCCGGUAACUACCCAGCUUCUCAUAUCACGCCAGCUAAAUAACCAGCAUCGCUUUGUAUCCUGGUAACUUCCCAGCUUCUUGUAUUCUGGCAGCUAAAUAUCCUGCAUCGCGCUGUAUCAUGGUAACUACCCAGCUUCUCAUGUCACGCCAGCUAAAUAACCUGCAUUGCUCUGUAUCCCGGUAACUUCCCAGCUUCUCGUAUCACGGCAGCUAAAUAACCUGCAUUGCGCUGUAUCACGGUAACUUCCCAGCUUCUCGUUUCACGGCAGCUUAAUAACCCGCAUUUCUCUGUAUCCCGGUAACUUCCCAGCUUCUCGCAUCACUCUGUAUCCUGGUAACUUCCCAGCUUCUCGUAUUGUGGCAGCUAAAUAAUCUGCAUCGCUUUGUAUC